AACGAACGCUGGCGGCAUGCCUAACACAUGCAAGUCGAACGAGACCUUCGGGCCUAGUGGCGCACGGGUGCGUAACGCGUGGGAACCUGCCCUUAGGUUCGGAAUAACUCCCCGAAAGGGGUGCUAAUACCGGAUAAUGUCUUCGGACCAAAGAUUUAUCGCCUUUGGAUGGGCCCGCGUUGGAUUAGCUAGUUGGUAGGGUAAAAGCCUACCAAGGCGACGAUCCAUAGCUGGUCUGAGAGGAUGAUCAGCCACACUGGGACUGAGACACGGCCCAGACUCCUACGGGAGGCAGCAGUGGGGAAUAUUGGACAAUGGGCGAAAGCCUGAUCCAGCAAUGCCGCGCGAGUGAUGAAGGCCUUAGGGUUGUAAAGCUCUUUUACCCGGGAUGAUAAUGACAGUACCGGGAGAAUAAGCUCCGGCUAACUCCGUG
rnacentral:rRNA from 1 species